UCUCCCUCAACGGUCACUCUAGCGGCCACCUUUGAACAACAACAGCACGCGUCGCGUCUCUCCGCCUUUCUCCUUUUUUUUUUACUCUACACUCUCCUGGCAUUUUACUCACGAUUCCGUGUCGCGCGUGAUUGAAUUGGGAAUUGGCAAGCGAGAAAACACAGUGUGCGCGCAGUGUCAACAACAAACACAAAGUUAAAAACACCCGGACAACGAUAACUACAUACAAAUUCCAAAAGGCAAGAAGCAGACGCCAGCGAGCGAGCAAGAGGCAGGACCUUCGCAGCGAGCGAGAAAAGGAUCGAGAGAGCUGAUCAACGGGAAACAGGGUGACAUGUGGAGUCCGACGCACUGCAGUGUAACGGUGCAGCGAGCGCGGGGGCUGCUCACCAAGGGCAAGAAUGGCACCAACAACUGCUUCGUCACCAUCGCGCUGGGCAAGGAGAAGUACCAGACGUCCGUUAAAGACAAGGCCGAGACGAGCGUCAACUGGAACGAGGAGUGCGAGCUGAAAAUCCCCGACCAGGGCAAUCGCGCUGAGCUCACCUUGACCUGCCUGCACAGGAACAAUCUGGGCAUCGAUGAGUUCCUCGGCCAGGCCUCGCUGCCCCUUAACGAGAUGGAUGUGUACGACCGGCCACGCGCCAAGUGGUUCAAGCUGGAGAGCAAGCCCGGCAAAGAGAAGAAGAACAAGGAGCGCGGCGAGCUGGAGGUGCGCAUCGCCUUCGUGGUCAAGUCCGGCUCGCUGACCGACCUCAGCAAGAAGGACAAGCACAAGUCUUCCAUCGGCCAGCUGGCCAGCUCCGUGGGCGGCAGCCUGCUGUCCAUCGGCAACGGCGAGAAGCGGCGCAGCAUCAGGAAGCUGGCUGGGUCGAUUAGCUCCAAGCUGCACAUCGGCGGCAGGAAGAAGCACCCGGAGGCUGGGGGCGAUGACAGCAGCUCCUUCGGCGGAUCCUUUGCCAGCCUGGGCACGCCCAACAGCUCCAACGGCAGGGGCCAGAACGGCGGCAGUGGGCGACGACGCGGCGGCCAGCGGGCGGGCGAGGCCGAUCCCGGCGUGAUCAGCGAGGACGAGGACGAGUUCGUGUUCGACAACCUCUCACACAAGAGCUCGGGCAGCUCGCUCAACAUCCAACGCACCGGCCUUCAGCCGCCGCAAGUCGGAACGCCCAACUUUGCGCCGCGCCACCCAUCGCCCCUGCUGAACAACGGAUUGGCCGGCGUAGGAAGCGGCAGCGGGAAAGGUAAGCCAGCGGUUUUGCCAGUGACGCUCGAUGAGGACGCGCCCAUCGACGCGGAGAUGGAACAGCUUGAGCUCGAUUUCAGUGUCCGUGCCCACGCCCGCGCCAACGCCAGCGGUAGCGCCAGCACCCUGCCGCCUCCCUCGAAGCCGCCGCGCAUCCCUUUGUCGCAGGCCGACGAGCAGCCGGCUGCUGGAAGCCUGGAGCGGGAGAAGCCCAGGGAGAAGCCAACCGAGCCGGAGAACGCCAAAGAUGAGUGGGCAUCAAAGUUGUAUGGCAGUGGCAAGUACCUGGAGAUCGGUAGCAGUGACUCCUUGAAACGCCGCAGCUGGGAGGAUCGGGUCCCACUGCCGGCCAGUGUCGAAGAGCCGCCACCAGUCCCCUCUUCCAGCUCAUCGUCUAGUUCCAGCUCGGAUAGCGAGGACGACGACGAGCACCCGCCGCAGACUGCUCCACCACCAGUGCCUGUGUCUGUGCCCGUGCCUGCCACUAUUCCCGUUCCGUCCGCUGCUGCUGAGCCAGUAGUGGCCACCUCCUCCUCGCUCUUCUCCCCCGAUGGGGAGCACCGCAACUUUGAUACGUUCAACGCCAGCUUCGCCAAGUUCGAGCAGCGCAACAGCACGGCCAUCUUUUCAGAUGAACCCGAGCUGGAAGACCUGACCGUGGAGCUGGAGAAGCCGGCGGCUACACCCACACCCACAGCACGCCCCAAGCCACAGCCUCGUGCCACGGCAGAUCUGAGGGCAGAGGAGGAGAAAACCAAGGAAGAGGCUGCACGGCAACAGCGCGCCGAGGAAGAUGCCCGCUUGGAGGCGGAGCUGCGCCUGAAUGAGGAGCGUCUGCGCGAGGAGGAGGCAGCUAUGCAGAGAGAGCUGGAGGAGGAGAAGGAGCGCCAGAAGCAGAUGCACUUGGACGAGCAGCAGAGACGCGAGGCCAAGCGCAGGGAGGAAGACCAAAGACUUCUAAGCUUCGCCAAACGAUCCACUUCCCUAGAGGAGCCAGUUCCAGAGAAAGAGGAGCUGAAGCAUGAUAGGGAGCUUGUGCCGAAAGAGGAGCCAGAAGUUGAAUCGCCAGAGCCGGAGCACAACUUCCUCACGCCCGAGCAGUCGCCCAAGGAGUUCCAGACGAAUGGCAGCGGCAGUGGAAGCGGAGAGCGCUGGGAAAAGCGGCUGGGCAAGUUCAAAUACGGCAACAAGCGAGAUAAAUACAACAACGACAACGAGAGCAACUCGCCUAGUCCCAAGUCCACGGAGCGCAUAAUUAUUGGCCACGAGAAGUCUGGAUCACAUGCGGAGCGACGCUCGGAGAUAUCCGCCCAGCUAGCCAAGAAAUACGAGGGCAAGUCCCGGGAGGAACUAAUGCUAAUUGCCAACGGAAUGGAGAACGAGGCUUUGCUGCAACGGCAGCGCGUAAAAGAGUUGGAGGAUUACCUGGACAACCUGCUGCUGCGCGUGAUGGAGACGCACCCGAAGAUCUUGCAGAAUCCCUAUUCACGCACCACGUCCGCCAAGAGGUACGCCACCUGGUCGUUCUGGUCGCCCACCCGGGCCACGCCCACCCACUAACCAACUGCAUGACCCUGACCGCCGUUAUAAAAAUUACAUCAAUAUGAAUGACUUUCUAAAGUAAGUGCUGCGCGCAUGUUGCAACUUGCAUUUAAGUAGACACUUAACCAACAAACCCCCAACAACAACAACAACAUCACCACCAACACCACAACCCCCAACUACAACAACUGCGAGACGCGAGUAACAAGAACUGAGGCGACUCUGGCUGAAAAAGAGAAGGAACAACUAAGGCGGGAUCGAAGUAAGAACGGCUAACUGGAGCCAAACUGGUCAUCGCCACCAACCGGUCCACUGGUCCCAGAACAGCUGGAGGAGAUCGGCGGAGCCUCCGGGUGCAAUUUAUGUGAACGCAUCGAAACACUAAUCCAACACAAUGUUGCCUUUGUCGUGAACAGCGAAAUUCAAGUGCUUUCUAAACCGUAUUGCUAAGAAGGGGAAACUAAAUGUGCACACAGAGCAUACUUGCUUAAGGAGUGUAACGUUUUAUUGAUAUUUUCGUAGCAUUCGUCGUUUUAUGUUUGCCCCCUACUAAAUCGAACUAAAUUAAUUGUACUAUAUACUACUAUGUUGUGCCUGGCAAUGCUAGGCCACUGAUUUGCCUUUAUUCGAGUCCCUUGUCGAUUGAUUGAAAUUAUCCAAGAGUAUUUUGUUUAUUUUUUUGUAUGUCCGUAUUUUUUGUAACAUUGUGCAAAGAAGAGUUUUAAAAUUUUUGUAAAGUGCUGCGAGGAAAGUGGCCUUAGUGGAAUAAGUUUUAAAUUAUUUAUGUUUUAGCGCCUAAGCGAAAGGGGGGAGGGGGACAGACCUGUGUCCCCUGCGAAAACACCACACACAGUUGAAAUAUGUUGAUACUACAAUGAUUUUACUUAUUGAUAUACACGCAAACGGAAUAAAACCAUUUUUAACAUUAAAA